UACGAGGGGGCGAGCGUUGUUCGGAAUUAUUGGGCGUAAAGGGUGCGUAGGCGGUUUGGUAAGUCUCGUGUGAAAUCUCCGGGCUCAACUCGGAGCCUGCACGAGAAACUGCCGGGCUUGAGUGUGGGGAGUGGUAGUAGGUGAAUUCCUGGUGUAGCGGUGAAAUGCGUAGAUAUCAGGAGGAACACCUGUGGCGAAAGCGGCUCACUGGACCAUAACUGACGCUGAUGCACGAAAGCUAGGGGAGCAAACAGG
rnacentral:rRNA from 1 species